GAUGAACGCUGGCGGCGUGCCUAAUACAUGCAAGUCGAGCGAACAGACGAGGAGCUUGCUCCUCUGACGUUAGCGGCGGACGGGUGAGUAACACGUGGAUAACCUACCUAUAAGACUGGGAUAACUUCGGGAAACCGGAGCUAAUACCGGAUAAUAUAUUGAACCGCAUGGUUCAAUAGUGAAAGACGGUUUUGCUGUCACUUAUAGAUGGAUCCGCGCCGCAUUAGCUAGUUGGUAAGGUAACGGCUUACCAAGGCAACGAUGCGUAGCCGACCUGAGAGGGGGAUCGGCCAAACUGGAACUUAGACACGGUCCAGGCUCCUACGGGAGGCAGCAGUAGGGAAUCUUCCGCAAUGGGCGAAAGCCUGACGGAGCAACGCCGCGUGAGUGAUGAAGGUCUUCGGAUCGUAAAACUCUGUUAUUAGGGAAGAACAAAUGUGUAAGUAACUAUGCACGUCUUGACGGUACCUAAUCAGAAAGCCACGGCUAACUACGUG
rnacentral:rRNA from 1 species